GGACCAGCGGCGUCCCGCCAUCAACGCUAGCAGGCCCUGAGCUCGGAUCCCGCGUCAGCCCGGUAGCUGCGUCUGAGGGAAACCUUCCUAGAGGAGCUUCGUAUGAGACAGCAGGCGUUUGAGGAAGUUGGCAUGCGUUCCGUGGGUAAAGGAUGCCUUACGGGCACUCUUUGAGGCAUGAAUUGGGAAUGACAUGAGUGGGAGAAAGAGGGGCGAUGGACAAAGAGGCGUUUUGCUGAGUUUUUGCAAAAACAGAAAAGCCAACAGUGGAACAGAGAGCAAGACAAAGAAGGAAAUCCAGGGCAAAGGAGUUGCUUCUGAUAGAAAAGUGAUGCAGAGGAGGGAACAUGAUGGGUGAAGCAGUUGAUGGGAACAGGGAACCUCUGGGGAGAUGCCUUAACCCUGGCAUGGCGACUGGGGCCUUCAUGAAGAUCAGGCACGCAACAGCUGAUGGGGCCUCUGGAGCAGUGCCCAGUUCAUCUGGGGCGAUUGUCCAGCAUCCACCUAGAAAGGAGGUCCUUGCUCCUGCGUAGUGUGCCAAAUGCGAGGUGCGAACUGUGAAGCAAUGGCAUGGUCACGGAAGACGCUGCCAGGGUGCUCCCACACAGCUGCACGCAUGUUCCAGACAGUUCCCUGGCUCUUGCAGGCCCAAGGUUUGUUUUAGCCCUUCAAUUAUGCAUGCCUCUUUUGCAAGGGAUCUGGCUCAAUGAAGUGGCUGCAGCAAGAAUCCCCAUGAAUUGUUCAUAAGUGCUGGCGAGGGAACGCCUCCAGUCUUCACUGCAGGACGCCUUCCAGAUGUGUUCUUCAUCAUUCCGCAAGCGCUCCUGCUCUCAAACUCUGCUGGGAUGUGUGUGGGUAAUUGGGGUGUAUUCAUCACUGCCGAGGCACCCCAUUGGCAGAGGAGUGGGGCCUGCCCCAUGCAGGGCAGUGGGGCAGAAAAGGUGGGCUUUAGUUUCUCCAGAGGGAGAGAAAAAUCCUCCCAGAAGACGUGCUGCCUUCGCAAAAUAGAGCUGGCUCAGUCUCCACAAUACCCCAGGAGCACUGCCUGAAGUGCAGAGGCCCUUGCUCUCCUGCUGUGGUGAUUUAUUUUACUUUUCCUUCCUAUAGCCCCACCCCCACCCCUCAUCCCAUUCACCACAGGGGGGAAGCCGGCGAAGGCUGUGGCUGCAGCAGGCAGGCCAGCAGGAAGCUCCCUGCUGACCUGAGGCAAGGACCAGCCCUCUUCCUUCGCUCCUCCUUUGGUGAAGAGCCUGAGGUGGCAGCUGGUGGAAGGGGCUUCCCUGGGACUAAAGAGACGAGACGUCUUCCCAGGGCUUCUUCCAACCAGAGCCAAGGAAUGCAUCACCCAUGGUUCUCUCACAAGAACCUGUGGAUGCCGCCAGGGACGCAGUGGAGACAGAAGAGACUGGUGUGAGACUGGGUCUACCUGGGACCGAUUCCAGGAGGAAAAGCUCACUUAAUGCAAGCUCUGGCGAAUGGCAGUGCAAGAAGGAGAAUUCUGAGCGGCUCCAUGAAGGCAACAGAGCCUGACCACAGCGGCUCAGCCCCAUGUAGCAGCUCUGCGUGUCUCGCUGCCCUGGUUACUGGGGAAGAAGAUUGUCUCUCUCGGCAGCAGUUGCAGUGUCACGGGAAAGAGAUUUUCCGAAUGAAAUCUGGAGAUAGGUUCACCAAGUAUGACUAGCAACAAGAAAUUUCCCUGAUAAAACGGAAGCAGUCCUGGGCGCACUGGGGUGAUGCUCCUACCUGGGGACCACAUGGCUCCAGCUCUAGAGCUCUCAUGUAAUCAUCGUCCUGGAUCCUGGGCUCUGAGGCCUUCUGGAAUUCACCUGCAUGAACCAGGCUACAUCUGAUUCCAAUUUGGCCAAAGCAGAUGAGAGGUGAGCCGGGCCUCGACAAGAAUUUCCCAAGUCAUCCGGAUGCCUACAACGAAUGUGUCCCUGCCAUGUUCCCACCUGCAUUUCCUUGCAAAGGUCACCCUGCAAUCCUUCCUUCUCCAGUCCGUUGCUCAAGCUCUUCAAGCAGCAGAAUCCCUACGUGUCUCAGAGGUGAGAGCGUCAGAGCCGUGGCCCGGGGUGUGGGCCCGGUGCAGAGGCCGUGUGCCAAGGCCGACCGAGCUGCUCUUCUGUCCCACUACCAUCUGGGCCAUCAGGUGACAGAGAAAUAAAUGCUACCUUGUUUAAACCACUGUAAUUUAGGGUCUCUCGUGACAGAAAUUUGCUCCUCCCCUAAAUAAUGUAUCAGCCAAACAUUGUUUUCUCACUGAGGUCGUGACCUUCUAUCUGUUGAAAAGAACUCAGAGCUAUCCCCUCCCCAGAGACCAUGGGGACCAAGAGUAAUGACAUCAACAGCGAUAGCCACUGAUGUCAUUCGGUGAGCGCUUACUUAGCACCCGAUGGGACCUCCAGCGGGAACAGGGUACGCCAUCUUGUUUAUUCUCUAUUCUCACACUCACCACUGAGGUGAGUUUAUACCCUCUUG